ACUUGUCACCGGGGGAGCCCGGCCCUAUGCGGCCUGGGCUGAGAGGGCGAAAGCCCGACUCUUGGAACCUGAUCCGGGUCAUACCGGCGUAGGGAGAGUGACCAGAGAAAGGC
rnacentral:ncRNA from 2 species